rnacentral:rRNA from 1 species
GCCUAUCCAUGCCAGUCGAGCGAACAGACAAGGAGCUUGCUCCUUUGACGUUAGCGGCGGACGGGUGAGUAACACGUGGGUAACCUACCUAUAAGACUGGGAUAACUUCGGGAAACCGGAGCUAAUACCGGAUAAUAUUUCGAACCGCAUGGUUCGAUAGUGAAAGAUGGUUUUGCUAUCACUUAUAGAUGGACCCGCGCCGUAUUAGCUAGUUGGUAAGGUAACGGCUUACCAAGGCGACGAUACGUAGCCGACCUGAGAGGGUGAUCGGCCACACUGGAACUGAGACACGGUCCAGACUCCUACGGGAGGCAGCAGUAGGGAAUCUUCCGCAAUGGGCGAAAGCCUGACGGAGCAACGCCGCGUGAGUGAUGAAGGUCUUCGGAUCGUAAAACUCUGUUAUUAGGGAAGAACAUACGUGUAAGUAACUAUGCACGUCUUGACGGUACCUAAUCAGAAAGCCACGGCUAACUACGUGCCAGCAGCCGCGGUAAUACGUAGGUGGCAAGCGUUAUCCGGAAUUAUUGGGCGUAAAGCGCGCGUAGGCGGUUUUUUAAGUCUGAUGUGAAAGCCCACGGCUCAACCGUGGAGGGUCAUUGGAAACUGGAAAACUUGAGUGCAGAAGAGGAAAGUGGAAUUCCAUGUGUAGCGGUGAAAUGCGCAGAGAUAUGGAGGAACACCAGUGGCGAAGGCGACUUUCUGGUCUGUAACUGACGCUGAUGUGCGAAAGCGUGGGGAUCAAACAGGAUUAGAUACCUUUGGAAGUCCAAGUGUGA